AGAGUUUGAUCAUGGCUCAGGACGAACGCUGGCGGCGUGCUUCACACAUGCAAGUCGAACGGGAUCCAUCUGAUGGCAACAUCAGUGAAGAUCUAGUGGCGAACGGGUGCGUAACACGUGAGAAACCUACCCCGAACUCUGGAAUAACAGGUGGAAACACCUGCUAAUACCGGAUGUCUUCGCUCAGUCGCAUGGCCGAGCGAAGAAAGGCUUGCCGGUUCGGGACGGUCUCGCGACCUAUCAGCUUGUUGGCGGGGUAACGGCCCACCAAGGCAUCGACGGGUAGCUGGUCUGAGAGGAUGAUCAGCCACACUGGGACUGAGACACGGCCCAGACUCCUACGGGAGGCAGCAGUGGGGAAUCUUGCCCAAUGGGCGAAAGCCUGAGGCAGCAACGCCGCGUGCGGGAAGAAGGCCCUCGGGUUGUAAACCGCUUUCAGCAGGAACGAAAAUGACGGUACCUGCAGAAGAAGGUGCGGCCAACUACGUGCCAGCAGCCGCGGUGACACGUAGGCACCAAGCGUUGUCCGGAUUUAUUGGGCGUAAAGAGCUCGUAGGCGGUUCGGUAAGUCGGGUGUGAAAACUUUGGGCCCAACCCAAAGACUGCACUCGAUACUGCUGUGACUUGAGUCCGGUAGGGGAGUGGGGAAUUCCUGGUGUAGCGGUGGAAUGCGCAGAUAUCAGGAGGAACACCGGUGGCGAAGGCGCCACUCUGGGCCGGUACUGACGCUGAGGAGCGAAAGCGUGGGGAGCGAACAGGAUUAGAUACCCCAGUAGUCC
rnacentral:rRNA from 1 species